rnacentral:misc_RNA from 1 species
UUCCUGAUUUUCCCAUCGUUCGGGGCAUUCUGGGGCUGUUUUGGCUAUUGGUUGCUUGUUUGGUCUUGAGCUGAACGGGUGGCUUCUAGUCCGGUGGCUUCGGGGAUGUUGUCCGUAAAGGUGGAUGAGUGGUGUUUGGUUUGUUACGUGUGGUUGGCUGCGGCGUUUGCAACAACUUCCAUGCUUUCAGACCUCUUCAGUUGUGCGGCAAGGCUUGUAUCGCCUUGAGCGUAUCGUGGGUUUUCUGUGUUGGCUACCUAAUCGACGGUAUCGGUUGGAUUGAUCAAAGUUUGAUUUCGUCUUCCGUCGCAUUCGCGGCGUGAGGUGAACCUUGAUGCGGUCUCUUUGAUCCACCUCGUCGGAGCACAUGCUUUGACGUUGUGGCGCAUUGAGCAUUGCUUGGUCUCUUGUAUACGGAACAUAUAGUGGGCAUGGAUCUAACGAUUCUCGUUUGCCCUCAUAUUAGCGUAACGCUUCUCUUACACGACUUGCUCCACGUUUUAG